UCCACCCUCUGUAGCUAUAGUAUAGUAACCAGCCAUGCCAAAGGUACACCUAGUAGGUCAUUCAGCCACCCUAGGACUACUCUAUUCUUCAGCCAACGACUUCACUCUUAUAUUUCAAGGAGAAGAUUUCUCUUUCUUCCCUUAUACGCUUAACACGCCAUUGAGAAAGGGAGGAAGUUUCCUUCAACUCCAGCCUUGACUCCGAAGAGUUCUUCUCCUACUGAGAUCAACAACAGCAGCCACCAACACAUAACAAUUUGCACGGUAUUUACUAAGCUCAGCUCAAUUCCGCUGAACCGAAGAGGGCCAGCGGGGACAGAGUUUUGCUGCUCGCCGGACGAGGUCAGAGAAGAACCCCGACGACGACCGCAACUCGCUGAGCCAACGCGACGACGCGGCGACCUUCGCUGAUUCCAGAGCAACAGUCGCAGCGACAACUUUCACUAAGGAGAAAAUAGGUGUGGCGGCUUCGCUUCCUGGGAGAGAAGGGGACGACGAUGGCCUCGCCGGACCUCAGAAACAGCGGCAGCAACGCCCCAGUUCGCCAGUUUCUCCACCAGCCGCGGCGGUGAUUCUUUAAUGGAGAUGUAAGGGCACAGCCUUGCCUUUGCUGUGCGAAGAAGGGAGAGAGAGCAGAGCCGAUGAAGGCGUCGGCUUCGCCGGACUGCAGGUUGUGGCAGCUUUGAUAGAGGAACUAGGGCUCGAUUUUAAAAGAAGUGCCUACCUUAAUUUUCAGCGAGGGUAGAAAUGAUGGGGAACGGCGCAGAGAUUUGCCGGAUUCUGGAGGCAAGAUGCGGCCUUGCCGAAUUUCAGAAGGGCCGACGACGGGCCUCAGAAACGGCAGCAGCAGCA